AGGUACUCGCGCGAACGCAGCGGGAAGCGGUUGCGGUAGGUCUGCAGCACCUGCACAUCGUAGCGCGUCUCGGAGCCGACGUAGCGCUUCGAGAGGAUCCUGGCUCGGAAGACUGCCGGGAAGAAGCCCGCCCGCCGGUCGCCUGAAUGGAGCCCGACAUGGACGGACGGGAGGAACCGGCGCACCGGGAGACCCGAGUUCUGUGCAGGGGAUCCCCUCUCUUCUCACCAUGAUAAACAGAUCCUCGCUUGUGGGUCCAGCCGCCUCAAGGGUCUCGUGCCCGUUAUCCGUGCGAGUGUAAUGCCACUGGGUGCCUGCUGCUUUGAAUGCACCUGGCCGAUCCACAGCCCACUCCCCAUUGAGGACAUAGUGCUGGUUUGCUUCCAUCAGGGCUGCAGAGGAUAUCCUGUUUAAGUGCCAGUCUAUUCUCCCUCCAUGAAUCCUAGCCAGGAGGGUUAGGAGCUCCGUUAAAGUCUUUGUGUAGUCCAGCCACGAGGCCCUUUGCUCCGUUGGAACAUGGGGUGAAUUUACCUCUACUCUUUUACACCACAAGAAUGCACAGAUUAUGAAACGUGUCUCAGAAGAACUCUUCAUUAACUCUUCUUACCAACCAUCAGCCUGGUCCUCAAAAGACGUUCACGCGCCUCCUGCCUGCCAUUGGUAGCUUCGUCUGCUUUGUUUUCUCAAUCCAAUCCUUGUGAAUUUUCAUGAUGCAAUUUUCAUGGGUUUCUCUCCUCCGUUUUUGUAUUCAUGUUUCCUUCUCGAUCCUCCCUUGUUUCAUCGCCAGUUUCUCCUGACGGCACCCUCCCCUCCUCCGGUCUUUUUUUGACUACCAAUUAUGUCAUCCCAUCCACUUCCAGGGCACUUCUAGACCCAUCCUCACAUGGUGGGAGGAAUGAUGACAUGAAAAUGCCUGGCUUUUGUGAGACCCACGCCAGGGUCUCCAUGCCAAUUCAAGGACCGGAGGAGUGCCCAUGAAUGCAGCUCUGAGGAAGGGCCCAUUUUCUAUCUAUUUCUUCUGGAAGAUUAAUCGAAGGCUGGCCCUUUCUCCUUCUCCACCCUCUUUCUUUUCUCUCCCAACCUGCUCUUAGACUUAGGGCCAUUUCUUUGCCGUGUGGGCCCAGCUUGCCUGUCGUUCUCUGCCCUUCCAGCCUCCUCCCUCCCCCACUUUCUUCACCAGGGGAAACCAGGCCAUCCUCUCCCCCCACCUUCCUUCCAUUUCCAAAUUCAUCCCUGGCUCUCCUGUUGUCAGAAUCCACAUCACCCACUGGCACUCCCACCUUCAGGGGCAGACCUGCAACCUCCCAGUGUUGCACACACUUUAUGUCCUGGUACGCACUUGUCAGUUCCGGUCUAUGAGAUUGGACGAGAAGUGCGCAGGAGGUGGGACGGGACAAGAGGGCACAAUCUGCAACUGUGUCGUUUGUACAGUGUCCUUAGAAUGGUUUGAUGGAGUUUGGAAAAAAUUCAGAGAAGAGCAACUAAGAUGAUCAGGGGCCUGGAGACUAAAACAUACGAAGAACGGCUACGGGACUUGGGUCUG